UAAGAGUGUCGUAUUCACAGAGAUUUGAAGGUUAGGUUCGUAGGGAACAGAGGAACAGAGAUUUCCGUCUCGCGGUCAAUGGGUGAUCGAUGGAGUUGGAAAAACCGAGAAUUUGGCUCAUUUCCUAACGUGCAAUUGAAGCUAUCGGAGGGGCCGUUUUACGCUUGAGGAAUUCGCACGGAGAUACCAAGAUUCGGGAACGCUCGUUGCACCUUCUGGAUUUCAACACUAAUCACGCCGCAACUGAAUUCAUACGAAAACACAGAGAACGAGGGAAAAUAGAAUCCAACGUGUUCGAAGGUCUUUCGAGAGAUAAUUGCGCUUAUUUUGAGCGAUGGAUUCGUAGGUUUUGGAUCAAGUUGUUGCCCAAUCGAGCUCCGGAUGACAGGAGAGGCGACGAAUUGAGUCGAUCAGUUCAAUGAGCAUUUAAAUAAAAUUUGGCUUUUAUCACAUUAUUUUUAACUUAGUGAUAAAAAUUCUGCGACGAAGAGAAAAACUCUGUGAAUUAUCAGGCACCAUUGAGAUCGAAAAAUUGACCUGCUUCCGGUAUUUUGAUAUGCGCGCAAUGGGAGACCUCUUGUAACACUUUCGAGCUAGGUCGAAUGGACCAAGGACAAAAAUGAUGGCCACCGAAAGACCAUAAACGGAUUACAUUCGAACGAUGUGGGAACGAAGAAAGUGGCGUCUCUUCGAAAUGAGCUGGCAAGAGGCUUCGAAAAUGAGUAAACGCAGAGGAUCAGAGCUGAGAAGCGAAGAGACACGAGAAGAAGAACGCUCACGAGAAAAGCCAAAAGGAAAUAUCGGGGAGGAAAAAAUUAGGAAACAAGUGGAACGAUGUCAGAGAGAAAAGCGAAGAGAUGAAGAACGAAGAAGAAGGAGAAUCGAAACUAACGAGAAUCGGAGAGAGUGACGGAGUAGGCAGAUCGUCCACGGAAAAUCUUAUAAGCGAAGAAAUUUUGACGGAGGAAAAAAAGUGGAAUAGGACACGGGAACGUCCACCGACACCGGCGAUAGCCGGAUCAGAUUCUUGUAUCAGAACACGGACUUUGAGAAACUGAGUCCAAAAUAUUGAGAAACGAAAUUUCGGAGCUGGCGAUUCUCCAGCGACGCACGUUCCUCGUUAGCAAAGGUUGAAGCUAAAAUCAUGAAACGCCGUUCUGCACGUUUAUCGAUAGGCUCCUCCGCGCGUCCGCGGAACGUGACGAAAUCCGAGCGAGGAAUUCCACAUUCGAAUGCCUCCAAAUUCGUUCUCGAAGAGCUUGAUUCUGCGAAGAUUUGAUCGUUGCGACUAAUCUCGCGAUGAGAUCUCCGUCUCUAUUUUUCUUCCAGGAGCAGUGAUUGUAGAUAUUUCGAAUAGGAUCGCGUUCAUAGUCGAUGGCCACGGCUCGUACUUAGUAGAUCGUGGAGAAUCGAAGCGGAGACGUAACGCUCGUGCGUAUAUCCUUACGCACGUACGUCUCUGCAUGCCCCAUUGUACUGAGCAAACAGUUGUACAUUCGUGUAUCCGUGUACACACGAAUAUAAAAGUGCUUGCAGGCUCGGAGGAGAGGAGGCAACACGUGAGUCCGAUGCUUGAGCUGUACGUGAUGAGAUGCCUUGCGGACACUGGGCUGUAUUACGGUGCGAGUGAACUAGAGCAUGCCACUCCCGAAAGAGAAAGCAAAACAACGAAGCGAAGGCUCUCUUCGCUCCGGCUCGUCGGAAUCGCGCACCGAGAAUAACGAACAUCGAAUAUAUACACGAGCCUGAUGCGGUCUCGGGGAUUCAACCACUUCGUGCGCUCCUUACACAUGCAGAGAGUCCAUGAGAAACCAGCGGAAUAUCGGCGAGCCACUCAAUUAUGAGUUUUUACGAUUCGUUUUAUUCCUGUGGAUUUACUCGGGGCUUUUAUACGACCUCAUUCCUGCGCUGUCAAUAUUCACGUUCCUGUAGGGGAGCUUCCGAUCACUCUUCCGCUCUUUGUCGUUCUCGGAAGCCCUUUCAGGCCUUACGAUCGUGAAAAAAUUGUCAGAAUGAUGAGAAACUUGAAAUUUAUGAAAAAAAUGGGCAGAAAGGGUAGCAAGCGCCCUUGGAAAGCUGCGUCCUAUGAAAACUGUGCACGGUCUCGUACUGGAACGUGCAGGGAGUAACUUGCGCAUUUGCCAGAGGGCCCAGGCGAUCUUCAAAUUGGAUAAUCCCUCGAAGAAUUGCGUCUUCGCACGGACCAUUCGACUCCGUAGUACGCCGUGUCGGUGCGUGUUGACAGGAGAAUUGGACGCGGUUACGAGAUUCGGGUCUACCGCAACGCUCUUGAGGGGGGACCAUUGGUGGAGGAAAAUUUUCAGUCGGAGCAGCUACUUUGCGGCCACGGAGAUUGAAAUGUCGACAGUGCGGAGCGCCACGGGGGGGUUUCUUCUCAGUUGAAAAGUCGAUGCGGCGAAUAGCAUUGGGAAGAAUCACAAGGAAGUUGGGAAAGCUCGUGACCGCGACCCUCGCCGGGGUUACCGCCGAUUCGUCAAAAUUCGUUGGCUUCCGCAUUCUCGGAGCAGGAACCUCCGUAUCGAAACUGAUGAGGUUAUUGUGCGUCCACGGAGCUUGGAAAAAAUAAUUUUUUCUUCGAGACCGGCUUUCGGGUGUCCACCGUCACCAAAAAGUGUUGCACAGGACACGCAGCCUUCCAAUUGCAUCGCUUUUUAACGGUCCUUUCUAACGGACCAUGUUUUGCCCAAAUAUUUUCCCGGCCGGGUGACAAGCGUGAUUCUCGAUGUCUGAAAACACGAAAAUCCUUUACGAAGCGACUCGUGGAAACGGGGAAAAAGGUGUGAGGGAAAAACCUCGUCGCGUCCCAGUGUUUGUUUCACUUUGAACGGAGAAAUGGUUAUCGGGGUCACUUUUAUUAAGAGUUUUGCCCUCGGAGGGGCUCUUUCGUUUUUGUGGAUGGACGCUCUCUAUUCGAACUCGUGCAAAAUCGAUUUUUGUUCGAGUUACAUUCGAGUUUUUUGUCCCUUCGUUUCGACGAAGUAAACAAAAGAUUGUUCAACUUUUUGUAACCCUCGAAGGAGGACGGAGAGAUAAAAACUGGAAAAAGUUUUCUCAUUUUUA
rnacentral:lncRNA from 1 species